rnacentral:rRNA from 1 species
UACGGAGGGUGCGAGCGUUGUCCGGAAUCACUGGGCGUAAAGGGCGCGUAGGCGGCGCGGGGAGUCAACGGUGAAAGCUCGGCGCUCAACGCCGAGUCGGCCGUCGAUACUCCCGUGCUCGAGCACUGUAGAGGCUAAUGGAAUUCCGGGUGUAGCGGUGGAAUGCGUAGAGAUCCGGAAGAACACCGGUGGCGAAGGCGGUUAGCUGGGCAGUUGCUGGCACUGAGGCGCGACAGCGUGGGGAGCAAACAGG